AUCGCAUUGGCGGCACCGAUUGGUCUGACCCGCGUGAUGUGAACGGUAAAACAGUAAAAGCGUAAGAGUUGUUAGGUGUCUCUUUUUAUUACUGUAUACUGGGUUGAACGCAUUUCAUUCUAAAGGUUGUAGAAACCCUAUAUGGACCGAAUAGGAUAGGGGGGAACGUUCGUGGACAAUCAGAAAUGAUAUUUGGGAAUUUGAUGUUAUAUACUCCGCCAUAUCACAGCAUCUUACCAAAGGUCUGAUGAUGCCCUAAUGCGGCGAACCGCGUAACCUUUAAAUAGACGCUUGAUUGAUGAGACUUGGACUUUGAGUUUACUUUCUCCUCCCCUUUAUUCAUAAAAGACAAAGCAAACAAAUAAUUAAAAUGAAAAUGGCAAAAAAAAUCAGAAGUUUAGAUAAUAUUAUAAUUUAUGAAUUCCUCAAUGCUACAAGUUUGUAAUGUUAAGUAAUAUGUGAAAUAAAGAUUUCUUAAAAAAUGGAA